rnacentral:rRNA from 1 species
GGAAUGAACACACUUCUCGUUCAGUCCGACUUCCUUGAUAAAUAGGCUAGCCAAGCCCGAGCCGCUCCUACGGAGUCCCACCUCGCCGCCGCCAAACCCUCGCCCCUCUUCCACCGGAGCCUACCGAGCUCUCCCACUCCAGAAAUUCUCCGAGCGGGAGCUCGCCCCCUCCAACGUCGCGUCCUCCUCCAGCUCCACAGGGCCUGGUGUUCGCGAGAUUCCCGUUGGUUCCCGCGACCCCGCGCGCAGUAAUCCCUAGGCGGGCUCGUCCGCCAUGUUUCCGCCCAAAGGGCCCAAUCCCUACGGGCAGCAACCACCGUACGGCGGGCAGCAAUCUUACGGCGGCCAAAUCCCUGGUAGCAGUGGAUUUGGGGCCUCAGCUGCGGCAGGUGCCCGUGCCGGACAGGGUGCUGCUGGGCAGUAUGGAGGGCCUUACGCGUCGGUGUAUGGCACACAGCAGGUUGGGGGAGUUGGUGGCAAAGGUCCGGAUUCUUCUAGUCUUCCUAGCCUGCCACCUCAUACAUCUUCACUAUCUCAGUCAUCCAAGUUCUCGUCUGGAUCUGCAGGGUCUAACUUGGCAAGACCAAACGAUGACUAUAUGGCUGUGCGUGGAUAUGCACAGAAGCUAGACCAGUAUGGUACUGAUUACACAUCAGAGAGAAGAAUGUAUGGUGAACACUCAGCUAAUCUUGGCAGGAGGGAUGGCCUUACUGAUUUGGAUAGAAGAUACCCUGAUCAUAUACCUGCAGCCCAUCAGAUUCAUGACCGUGUGGAGCAGGGUUCAACAAUGCGCCAUCAGCCACUUCUGAAAGCUCAGUUGGCGCCUGUGUCUGAUAUGAGGCAUCGUUCACCUAUUAAAGAAAUAAAGAGAGAUUAUUUGUGCAAGGUUUUGCCAUUUCGGUUGGUGGAUGAUGAGAGAGACUGUUUAUCUUUGACAAAAAGAUAUCCUAGGUUAUCAGUUAUUCCAGAUUUUUCUAAGAUUGUCUUGAACUGGGCUAAAGAAAGCCUAAAUCUUUCACUGCAUACACCAGUGAGUCUGGAGCAUGCCAUCUGUGAAGAUGACGAUAAAGCUGAUGAAAGCGCACUGGUCUCUUCUGAGAACACAUCAAGCAUAAAGACCCCUGAAACCAUUUGGAAUGCAAAGGUACUUCUGAUGAGCGGUAUGAGCAAUGGUGCCUUUGCUGACAUAACAUCGAUGAGAAGUACUGAGGAACGAGUGGUGCACUUGAACAAUAUCUUAAAAUUUGCUGUAUUCAAGAAGGAUCGUUCACUUCUUGCUAUUGGAGGCCCUUGGAAUGCAGCACUUGAUGGUGGAGAUCCAUUGGCUGACUGUUCUUGCUUGAUUCGAACUGCUAUCAGAUAUGUGAAGGAGCUGGUUCAAGUCGAUCUAUCUAAUUGUACCAGUUGGAAUCGUUUCCUCGAGGUCCAUUACAACAGAGUUGGCAAUGAUGGACUCUUUAGUCACAAAGAAAUUACUGUACUGUUUGUGCCAAACCUGUCGGAAUGCGUACCAUCUAUGGAUAUAUGGAGGAACAACUGGAUUGCAUACCGAAAAUCAAAGAUAGAAAGGGAGCAACUGAUUAUGAAGGAAAAGAGCCCAGGUGAUCCAAAGGAACAGAAACAAGUUUUAGAGGAGCCAAACGAGGCUAAAAGUACGAAUGAUCAAUUAAAGGAGGGUGAUGGUGCUGCCAAGAUUGAGAAAAUUGAUGCUGAUAUGGAACUGAAGGAGGGUGAUGGUGCUGCCAAGAUUGAGAAAAUUGAUGCUGAAAUGGAACUGAAGGAGGGUGAUGGUGCUACCAAGAUUGAGAAAAUUGAUGCUGAUAUGGAAGAACAGGGCAAAGAUGGAGAUGUCAAUCUUGCUGGUGAUGGUGGGAAGAAUCAUGACAAUGUUGGGGAGCAAGUUGAGAAGAUCGUGGGGGUUGUUGAAGAGAACACUUCUGGUGAUGCUUCUGUUGACCAUGUCACCGAGGAUAAAAAGCCCAUGAGAAAGAAAAUAAUAAAAAAGGUUGUGAAAGUUGUUCGAAAAAAGCCAACUGCUGAAGCUCCAGUGGAUAAAUCGCCUCAGGUUGACAAGAAUGCCGUGGCAGAAACUGCGAGCAAAACCGUCCAAAAGCACAUUGAACAGAAAAGUGAGGAUCUUGGGAAAGAGAAGGCGGGAGCUGGCAUCGUUCAACAGCCUGAGGCUAAGAAAACUGGGAAGAAGAAGGUCAUUCGAAGGAUUGUUAAAAGAAAAGUUCCUGCUUCAGCGACUGAGCCAACAGCCCUUGCUGCACCUGCUGAAGCAAGUAAACAAGAUGUGGAUGUUCAGCCGGAGAAGAUUGCUGAAGGCGUCACUGAUGCUGGGAAUUCACAGACUAAGCUGGAAGAAGGAUUGAAAAUUCCCGCUGAAGAUAUUUCAAACCAGAAGAAAGAAGAAGGAUUGAAAACUCCUGCUGAAGAUACCUCAAAUCAGAAGAAAGAACAGGAGCUGGAGAUAAAGGGAGACAUAAUGACUGAUGAUCAAAAGGCAAAUACAGAUAAUGUUAACCAGCAGGAAGUUAUAGAACAGAAAGAUCCGAAAAUUGAUGAAACAAACGAAAAGAGUGACCAGAAAAAGGAUGACAACGAAACAAAGGAUAAAGACCAGAAGAUGGACUCAAAGAAAAAGUCGCCCAUUGACACCAAAGAAAAGAAGAAGUCUGAUGAGCCUCCGAAACACCCAGGAUUCAUUCUCCAGGCCAAAAAGAGCAAAGGAUAUAAACUCCGUUCAACAUCCCUUUCAUUGGAUGGCCUCCUGGACUACACCGCCAAUGAUACAGAGGAGUCUGUAUUUGAGCUUUCUUUGUUUGCCGAGUCUUUCAGCGAAAUGCUUCAGUACAGAAUGGGUUGUGUGAUCUUGUCUUUUCUUGAGAAACUUUACAGGCAGUAUGUUGUGAGGAGGAAUCAACGUAAGCGCCAAAGAGAGGAAGAUCUAAAGAAGGAAGACACAAUAUCCUUGGAGAAGCGACUAAAGACAACUGAUGAGAAUGUAACUGGAAGUACCUCAGGUAACCCAGGUAAAAAUGAUGAAACAAUAAAAGAGGGUGGAGAAAAGAUAAUUGGCGAUAAUUCAUCAGCUUCCCAUGAGCAACUGGUCAAAGAGGAUGAUGAGAAGAUGAGUACAGAUCAUGCUGCCCAGGAUGAAAUGAUGAAAGAGGGCGAGGAAAAGAUUGAUGCAGAUCAGUCAGCAGCUGCCCAUGAUGAACCUAAAGCUGAUGAGAAAAUGGAGGAAGAAGAUCCUGAAUAUGAAGAAGAUCCCGAUGAAGUAGAAUAUGAGGGCGACGAGGACAUGGAUGAUGCCACUGCUGAAGAGCCGGCAGAAGCACAGAAUGAGGAUAACUCAAAUGAAAGAGAAACCAAGCCAGAAGAGGUAACCGCAGAAGAUGAUGGAAAGAGGACAACGGAGAAUCUUAAAUUGGAAAAAACAGAAGAGGACAAGCAGUCUGUAGCAGAGAAAGGAGAUUUGAAAGAAGUUGAAGAGAAAUCUGUUGGUAAGGAGGGAAAGAUAUCUGGAUCACAGAAAGGAGAUUCAGCGAAACAUGAUGUGGUUGAUAAGGACCUGUUGCAGGCUUUUAGGUACUUCGACCAAAACAGAGUUGGUUAUAUAAAGGUGGAUGAUUUAAGGUGCAUCCUUCACAACUUGGGGAAAUUUUUAUCCAACAGGGAUGUGAAGGACAUGGUUCAAAUUGCUCUUGCCGAGAGCAAUUCUUCAAGGGAUGGUCGCAUUAUCUAUACAAAGCUUGUCAAGAAAGCUGACCUCUGAUCUGGACCUGGUUUUGGCCCUAGCAGCUCGUUGAGUUAUGGAACUUGUUUGUUGGAGAUUCUUGGCAGUGAAUCGAUGAUCAAUGCAAAGUCAGCUGAAUAGUGUACUUCUAUGUAGCUGGGAGCUAGUUUUCAUUUCUUUGAAUGAAUAUUUGUUAAUGAACUUAACAAAAAUUGAUAUCGUUUGUAUGUUGACCUACUAGAAAAUUUUCAUUAGAUUUUUUUUCCACACAGCAAACAUAAUGGCCUAAUAAUAAUAACAUUUGCUGGUGUUGUAUUUUCGAAUUUCUUGUGGCGCCACAC